GCACCUUUAGCUCAGUUGGAUAGAGCGUCGCCCUCCGGAGGCGAAGGUCGCAGGUUCGACUCCUGCAAGGUGCACCA
rnacentral:tRNA from 1 species